rnacentral:rRNA from 1 species
GAAUCUUGGACAAUGGGCGAAAGCCUGAUCCAGCGACGCCGCGUGGGUGAUGAAGGCCUUCGGGUUGUAAAGCCCUUUCGCCGGGGACGAUGAUGACGGUACCCGGAGAAGAAGCACCGGCUAACUCCGUGCCCGCAGCCGCGGUAAGACGGAGGGUGCUAGCGUUGUUCGGAAUCACUGGGCGUAAAGGGCGCGUAGGCGGCCCAGGCAGUCGGGUGUGAAGGCCCGGGGCUCAACCCCGGAACGGCACUCGAUACUCCUGGGCUCGAGGCCGGAAGAGGAGGGUGGAAUACCCAGUGUAGAGGUGAAAUUCGUAGAUAUUGGGUGGAACACCGGUGGCGAAAGCGGCUCUCUGGUCCGGACCUGACGCUGAGGCGCGAAAGCGUGGGGAGCAAACAGG